GAACAAGAGAAUGGAAGACACUGCAAUUUGAUAACCAGGCCUGAGGUCUCCCAUACAAAAAUCACAGACACCCAAGGAAUGGCCACACUGGGCCUCACUUACUCCUAUGCAUGAAUGCAGAUGGUUGUGAGCUACCAUGUAAUUGCUGGGAAUUGAACUCAGAACCUCUGGAAGAGCAGACAGUGCUCUUAACCACUGAGCCAUCUCUCCAGCCCUUACAACAUUCUUACUUAACAGGCAGAAAAUGGACAUGUCUCAACAGAUACCUUUUCCUUUAGACUUGUUCUGAGACACGCUCUUCCUAUGCAGCUCAAGGUGAGCUAGAAUUUGCUAUGUAGCCCAGGUUGGUCUUGAACUUAGAAUUCUUCUAUCUCAGUCUCCCAAGCACUGGGAUUAUAGGUCUGUGCCACCAUAUCCAACUCUUAAGAACUUUCAAGUUGAGGUGUAUGCUGUCACUCUUAACUCUUAGAGAUGACUCUGCCAUUUAAGGGCUACUACGUUUCUUUUACUGUUUAACUUUCACAUAGAGGAAACAGCUGGUGGUUCUAAAGGAGGAACUAACCCAACUAGUAUCUCUACCAUGAAAUCAAACACAGAGUGAUUAUGGUCACAGAGAACUAACCGUCAUGGUUAAAACAUUGUCCACAUUAGAUUCAGUGAACACCAACAGGUUCCAAAGAGCCAGCACUACACGGGCUGGGUAUCUGAGGUACUUGGGACCCAAAAUGUUUCUCCUGUCAGGUAAUUUUCAGUGUUUAGAAUCUUUACAUCAGCAUAGUGAAAUAUCUUGGUUCUUAGACCCAAGUCUAAACAUAAAAUUCAUUCAUGGCUUUGUUUUGGGGAUACUUUUUUAUUUUAUUUUAUUUUAUUUUUAAGCAGGAUUUCAUGUAGCCCACCUUAACCCCAAACUCCCUUUGGCUUCUUUCUGCCUUUUGAAUGCUGGGAUUAGAGGCCCCAGCCACAACAUCUGGCCAAAUCCAUUUGUGUUUCAUAGCCACAGACCACAAAGCUAACUUCAUACCUUUUCGUUUGAGACAGGGCCUUACUAUGUAGUCCUGGAUGGCAUCAAACACAGAGAUCUACCUGUCUCUACUUCCCAAGUGGUAAGAUUAAUGGCAUGUACGACCACAUCAGUUUAUUCAUUCAAGAUUUUAAAUAGUUUAAAAAAAACGUUAAAAACUUUCAUGAUAUGGCUCCCAUUUUCUACUUUGUGGGGUGAUGUACUGAGAAGCACUCCAUAUUUGAGAUUUUUUAGACUAGAGAUGCACAACCUGAAGAGAUUAUAUUCUCUGGACACAAGUACAAUCAAAUUAGGAGUCAACAAAGAUUUUUUGAAAUGCCCAGUUGAUCUUGAACCAUAUGCUCUCAAACAUACAGCUCUGAAAGACAUUGUGGGGGACAAGAGUUACCGAGAAUAGUUAUGAUAGUAGAUGGAGUAUAGUGAAAAUCAAUGUCUUGGAUUCUGUGACUGCACAGGUAAAUGCUCAGGUUCUAUUAACAGCACAUUCAAAAGCCAAGUAAGAGAAUGUCCAACUAUCUACAAGAUGACUCAGCAAAAAGAUGGAACAGGAAGACAUGGAAACACUAGCUGGCCCACCUGGGCCAUGGCUGAUAGUGGCCCCUGUGCAGAAAGCCUGGGAGAAAACCCAUACAUAGCCCACAAGUUCAAAAUUUUGAAUAUAAAACUUGUCAUCUACCAUUAACAAGAAGUCAGGAAGAGAGCUGCCUAGAUUUAUACACCGUGUGCACGCGUUUAGAGGCAGUAGUGAGGAAAAACUACUCAAACUAACUUUACAGAUGCAAUAUAACCUAGAUAUAAAAAUGAAACAGAUAAUGAAAGGAAACUUACCGAUCAAAGUGAUUACCAAUGGUCCGAUAAAAAUCACUAAACAAGUUGUGUACACUGCAUUGUUGCUUUGUUUUAUCAUGUAGUGCUAGUGAUGGAACUCAGGGCCCUGUGCAUGCUAGGGAAGUAAGUGCUAAGUGAACACCCAUCACUGAGCAACUCCCUAAGCCAAGGCACUAAUGCUUCAACCUGACAUCCAGCCAGGACAAACACGCUCUGUGUAGUACUUUAAAGCCAGUUACUAUACUUCACAGUAAAAGGGAAAUGAUGAAAAGGAAAACCAAACCUUUCCAAUAAGAUACACACAAGACAAAAUAAAAAAUCUUUCUAGAGUAUAUAAAGACGAACAGAUUGCCAAUUGGUGACCUGUCAUCCUACCUAGAAGACAAACCAUCUAAGAGCUAUCAUUCAUCCUUCCAAACACACAUGCUACCUGAUAUUUAGUGUUCUUUUAGGCUGACCAAAAUAGCACGGCUCAGUGUUCAAAGGGGAUUCCAAUCCCUGUGCUUCACCUGAAGGUUCUCUGCAGUUACAUACAGGCCUGGAAGGGAUAGACUCGGAACUGGGAGUAAAACAACAGUUUGAAGUCAGCACGGUCAUGGACUCUAUAGACUUAAAAAGCUGGAAGUUCAGACAAACAGUGAGAAGCCUACACAGCUUCAAACUAAGAAGCACAGAAAGGUCCAGAAGUGGACAGACCCAGCUAUGUCUGAAAGAGAGCAAACAGCAAGCUGAAGGCAGCAGCUGUGAGCUAGCACACCAACAUCACUGAAAUCUCCAUGAGACCCUAACACACUCAACUGGAAACCAAUAAGACCCAACAGCCAAGGUAUCCCCAAGGCAGGAGGUGACUGCCUUUCAGAGCAUUACUCCAAAACAGCAGCAGCAACUAACAGAGACAAUGAAAUUGUGAAGAAAAACGGCAUGGGGAGAAGAUGCAACCAUCUCUAUGAGGAAACAGAUAUUACAUAAAGUGUAAGAGAACAGAAGACUAUUUUUAAAAAUUCAGAGACUGAAAUGGACUUCUAAAAUACAAAGUCUAACAUUUGAAUUAUAUUCUAGACAGUGAGAACAAGAAAGGGGGGGAGAAAUCAAAGAACACUGAAAAUAUGGAAAGCCAUGAGCUUUCAGAUGGAAAAGGCGCAGCAAGAAUCCAGAACAAAGGAUGAAAGGCGCCCACAGGAAGGCACACAUUUGAACAUUCACAAGACUGGGAAUGAAGAGAAAUUCCUAAACGCUUCCAGAAAAAGGAAAGAGAAAUCUUUAGAUCAAACAGGAAUGGCACCAGUGCUGACACUGGAACAAACUCUUCAAAACAGAAGAGAUCAGGAAUUCAACACAGAAUUAUAGUGAAGACAUGAGUGAGGAGGAGAAAAGAUGUUCCCAAAUAUGCAACCUUCAAAAAUGACUGAUUCCCAUGAUUUCUUUAAAAACAUAUCCUUCAAAAGGAUAUUCUUUAAAAGUCUAUCCAUGUCUUCAGAACACUUCCUUUAAUGGUUCAGAUUCCAGAGAAACAGGCUUCCCAGACAUUAGAAUUUGUUAACUCCCCACAGAACCUGGCACAUAUCACCUCUGAGAAACACAAAAUGCUGGCCACUGAUUUUACCUGUAAAGGAGUUAUAAUAAAACAUUUGUUACAUAC
rnacentral:lncRNA from 1 species